ensembl:lncRNA
GUUACUCUACUAACCCCCAGUAGGUUACUCUACUACCCCCAGUAUGUUACUCUACUACCCCCAGUAGGUUAUUCUACUACCCCCAGUAUGUUACUCUAUUACCCUCCAGUAGGUUACUCUACUACCCCCCAGUAUGCUACAGUAUAUCUAAAGGGCCUGGUCCAAAUGAGAAGGAACAGUAGAAUAUGAUAAAGGCUUCAGUCUGAACCACAACCACAUACCUUUCUUUCAGAGAGGUUGUCAAUUGGGCACAUACAAAGAAUGACACCCUGAAGUACUAAGAGUUAAGGGGGAUAGAUGAGAGAGCGAAGAGUGAACUGGUGCGUCUAUUUGUGUCUUUUGAAGAGAGAAUCAUACACCAGAAAUCUCUUAAACCAUCGCUGUUAUUGCUCCAAAUAUUAACAACCUAUUUAGAGAAGGGUCCACACUAAUGUGGAAAGAUAUAUUAAAUUAUUUCCUGGUUGACUAUACUGCAUGUCUAGUCUGAAUUUAAGAUAAAUAUUGACUAUGAAUAUUAUUUAAUUAUCUUUUAAAUUAGUGUGUGGCACAGGAAAGGUGUCCAUACUGAGUGUUAUCCUUAACUAUGAUAUGAGAAAUAGUACAAUACAAUGUAACUGCCCCAUUUCAGUUUUUAUUAUUGGGCCCAUACUGCUAUUUUUUGCAGAACAUACAAUUUAUUUAUUGCUCAUCACACAUGAUUUUAUCAAUCAUGGCAUAUAAUUCAUGAAGUUACUAAAUGCCAGGUAGUUAAGUGUGAAUGAGAGAGUGAAUUUAAAGGUUAAGACUAAAGACACAUGGUAUGGCCAUACAGUUAUCCCAUUCAUGGACUGAAAUAUUCUUGACACUUGAAAAGGUUGAAUUACAUUGAAGAGUUUGUCUCAUUUUUUACAAUAUAUAUCCAGUGUACUGUUUUUGUGUAACUGAUACCUCUUUGUACAAAGAAGUAAUCAUUGAGCUUUUGUACUGUCGUUAACUGAAGUCCUCAAUGUAUUUACCUGUAUUUCGAUUAAAA